UACAGAGGGGGCAAGCGUUGUUCGGAAUUACUGGGCGUAAAGGGCGCGUAGGCGGCCUUCUAAGUCGAACGUGAAAUCCCCGGGCUCAACCCGGGAACUGCGUCCGAGACUGGCAGGCUCGAAUCCGGGAGAGGGAUGUGGAAUUCCAGGUGUAGCGGUGAAAUGCGUAGAUAUCUGGAGGAACACCGGUGGCGAAGGCGGCAUCCUGGACCGGUAUUGACGCUGAGGCGCGAAAGCCAGGGGAGCAAACGGG
rnacentral:rRNA from 1 species